rnacentral:rRNA from 1 species
UACGUAGGGUGCGAGCGUUAAUCGGAAUUACUGGGCGUAAAGGGCGCGUAGGCGGUUUCGUAAGUCCUGUGUGAAAUCCCCCGGCUCAACUGGGGAACUGCACAGGAAACUGCGAGGCUUGAGUUCGGGAGAGGGAAGCGGAAUUCCGGGCGUAGCGGUGAAAUGCGUAGAUAUCAAGAGGAACACCUGAGGGGAAGACGGGUUGCUGGGCUGACACUGACGCUGAGUGCGCGAAAGCCAGGGGAGCAAACGGG